rnacentral:SRP_RNA from 1 species
GCUGGGUGUGGUGGCACACGCCUGUAAUCCCAGCUACUUGGGAAGCUGAGGCAGGAGAAUUGCUUGAGUCCAGGAGGUGGAGGUUGCAGUGAGCCAAGAUUGCGCCACUGCAUGCCAGCCUGGGUGACAGAGCGAGACUCUGUCUCAA